rnacentral:lncRNA from 1 species
CCAGAGCCUUCCAUAUGAUCGAACUCAUUUAUAUUACUUUCCCUGGGAUCUUUUCUUGCUUGGUUCAGUUUUCUUCUAAGGACAUAAUACAAACCAACUUCAUCAUUUCUGAAAAUACAGACACAAUGCAAUCCCAACUUUCUAUGCAAUGAGAAAGCGAUUCUGAGACAGUGAUGCAUAAAGGAAAAUGGAGAUAAAGAUAUCUGAGGCAGUUCGGUACAGUGAAGACUGGAAGAUCCAAGACAGAAGGGAUAUGGAUUAAAGUCCUCCACUUUUAAUGACAUGAACCCUUAAUUUCUUUGUAAGCUAUUAAAGAGUAAGUCACUAAACCAAACUUGAACAUAAGUUUCUUUUAUUUUUUUUGUAAAAAUGAAGAUAGCAAACAGAUCGACUAUUUCAAAGGGUUGUUGUAAAAAUUACAUAGAUAUAACAUAUGUAUAGUCUUUUGAUGUUGAGAAGAAUAAGAAGGUUAAGUCAAGAGAAUAUAUUCAAUCCCCACAAUGUUUUUCUUCACCACUUGGCAAGAAUAGGUAACAAUGCAG